UGGCUGUCUCCACAGAGGGCUGGCACUGGACCCUGCCUGGGGCACCCCACUUGAACCCCUACUCCCGGCCUCAGCUCUGGGACUCUGAACCCAGCACCUGCAAAGAGCCUGGCUGUGGGGACCCUUGGCUGCAGCAUCACAUUUAACCCUCCUUGGAAUGCUACAGGCAGCAUCCAGCAGACGGGAAGACAGAUGAUGCUGGAG
rnacentral:lncRNA from 1 species